UGUUGGUUCAGACAGUGCAAGUUCAUUGGGGAAAAGGAAUUUUGCAGGGAAUAUCAUUCUGAGCUAUGGCUCUGUGGCUGAAGUUCACCAGAAGUUGUCAGAGGUUCUUGUCACUGCAGUAACUUAGAACUGUAUAAACACAAAUGGGAUUAUUUUCCACAGCCAUGGAUCACUGAGCCACUUUCAGGUUAAUUUGAAGCCUUUGAUGAAGAAAGAAGACUGAUUCCUACCUAGACACUAAUCGCAGUCUGGUGUCCAGAGUGCUUUUUUAGAAGAGCUGUGCUUGAGGCCAUGGAAAUGAGAAGGUCCUGGGAUUCCAGUGCCUUAUUUUGGCAGUUUCUUCUGAACAAAAAAGAUUCCCAGCUCUGGAGAGCACAGUGUCAAAACCAUUUGCUUACAACCCUGUGUGAAGUGCUGAUGU